ensembl:lncRNA
UCUUUCAAUAUGAUCCCAUUUGGAGGACGAGAAAGGCUUAAUUAAUGUCGUUGUUAUUGCAAAGAACAACACAGACCAGCUGUGUUUAAUUAGACCAUAGAAAGAGCCAAAUCCUUGAUGAGGCGAGACCGCAAAGCCGCUCGAUGCCUCCUCUUUCCAUAUGCAAAUGAGCUCGGGCUCUAGCGCUUAGAAGCCCCACCCAGCGGAUGUGACCUGAACCAGACACAGCUGGAAUAAGUGCUGAUCCUGUGUUCCAUCGUGUGGCUGGUACCAGCAUGCAUCAGUCAUGAGAGAGUCUCCCAAACCCUGCGGCGCUGGCGCCUCUCUCAGGAACCCAGCUGCUGUGAUAAUCCUGUUAUCUACCAUUAAAGGUGCACAGAGGUUUGGCGGGGGGGAGGGGGAUCCUGAAUGGUGGCGGAAAACACUCCGGGGCUCUGAGGUAAUAUGGCUACACCUGAUACCGCCUCCAAGCGUGUCAGGUUAACCCUCACAGCCACAAACUAGAUCUGAGAGCAAAUCCGUCUGGAUGCGAUCCAGGCACGCGCGCCUGUGCACAGGUGGGCUCGCACGGGCAUUGUUAGUGUUGACAGCUUGCUUCUUACGGUCCUACUCCGCACUCGAGGGGGACAUCGUUACAUGCCGGCAUGCUGUGUGUCGACAUGCUGUGCGUCGAGCAUGCAUAAUGCAUGAAGUGUUCAGCUUUCAACAUAUGCAUGCCGAAACCCUGAGAACAAUACCAGCUCGGCACAAAAUCAAAUCACAAGGCAGCGAGAAGAGGGCCCAGCGAAGACACUUAUCACUUAUUGUGAUGUAAAGGGUUUCCUUUGUAGAUAUGACACUAUUAAGGUACACCUCCUGCUGCUGUCACAGCCGCUGGUUACAGAUCUCCUGAGGGUACUUUUAUGUAAAGUUUUUGAGUAAAAUGUUGUAUUUAUUUUCAAAGUUCAGGGGAAGUAGCAGAUUACGUGUAAUCAGGAUUAACAAUCAGGUUUCAAAAGAUAAAUAAACACCAACUAUAAUAAAAGCACUUCCAUUUGGAUUUGUUUUCAAGAUUCUAAACCGCUGAUUUCUUCGUUUUACUUUCAAUGCGUACUGCGGCGACCGGAUGCAGAAGGACGUCCUGGUAUUUCUGGCACACUGCAUUAGACACACUAUGUAAUAAGCGUACUACAUCUGAUCCUGGGCUACUGAUAAGAAGCAUGGAUAACGGGGGUGUAUCUGUGCCGCUGUGAGAGGCAGAAGGGGCUGUUCUCUCUGGCUUCCCAGCAGUGUCACAGGGUUCAACCGUCUCCCUGCGUGGACUCUCCCUGCUUCCAUCCCGUUACCCCCCUACAACUAACUCUCACUGGCGACUGCGUGUGUCUCUCUCCCUUUUCUCUAUCUGUCUCCCCCUCAGUCUCCGCCUGACCUGGACUUCAGCACUCAUCCCUUUGCCUCUGAGGCUUUGCUCUGUGAACGCCGCAAUCGUGAGGUUGUCCUGUUUUGACAUGUUUUCCCUCCGACUUUAUUCUGUGGUCCUGACCGACUAAUUCCUCAAGGAAUGAGCUGCUGAAGUACCGUCAAUAGCCAAGUGUGUGUAUGUAUGUGUGGGAGUUUUCAUAGGAUGUCGCCACACCAUUACCAAAAGUACUGACAUGUAAAACGAUCCGCGUAAAGAAGCAGAUCAAUCUAGCAAGAAUUCUUUCUGGCCACUACCACCGUGUGCCAAAAAUAAAUAAGACCGUUGAAGCCUUGUCAGCGGCCCAAGAGGCUACGGCGUCCAGUACGAUACAUGAAGAUCUUGCUGCAUCUAAUACAAUGUAAUGGCAACUCUGUCCGAUGGUUGAACUGAAGUAAGCUUUCCACAACAGUCACCAUGGAAAACCCUACAUUCUAACAAACAAUGAAUUUGAUGGACAGUCAUUUGUAACUACAGUGACGUCAUGCCGAUGACAUGGAUUGUACCACCUCCACCUCAUUUUAAGACCAGAGAGCUCCUCUCCUCCUUCAUAACAAAGACAGAAAUAAAGCAUGCUUCACAAAAAGGCCAACAUGCACAGAAAAAAAUUAUGAUAAAUGAUAAGAUACAUACAUAUACAUCUCCAUUAUCAUCAGCAAUAAGAAAUACAACAGGACAGAUGGACCAGAGUCAGUCCCAUGCUUUUAUGGUAAUCCGAUCGGAUUGGCCCCUCACAGCCCUGCUCAGUGUAAGGCAUCAUGUCAUUUAGCAGACGCUUUUAUCCAAAGCGACUUACAUUACACUUUAAACCCAUGGCUUUUAUCACAUUUUGGCCCGGGGAGCAAUUACGGGUUAGGUGUGUUGCUCAGGGACAUUUCGACAUGAAACAUGGGGCAGCCUGGACUCAACUCACCAACCUUGUGCUUCCCAGCACUCCUUCUCUACCUUCUCUAACCCCUGCGCCACGCCGACCCAUAUAUAACCAUCUUCUGUUCUGCAAUGAUACAUACAUCAAAUCCCAGCGUUACAAACUUACCUGGUGUUCAAUUAUUCACUCGUCUCUCAGCAGCCCCCAAGGAGCUUGAGAACGGUCUAUCGCAUAUGACAGUCCGCAUGCGGGGGGGGGGGGCUAGCAAGCCAGUUAAUUCUGGCACAAAGCAGUGAUGGCUUUAAUGCAUGGUCCCAACAUGAAUGAUGCAUAAAGCAUGAAUAUGAUGCAAUGAAAAGACCAACCCAAUGUAAAGGUUUGUUCGGGCAAAAGCUUUCAGGUGAUUGGCUGAUGAGAAGACUGGACUGGAGAUGCCUUAGCAACACUGCUGCCCCUGCCUGACCGCCCAUGCAACCAAUCACUAUGAGCACGCUGUCCCUCAGGCACAGGUGAGCGGCCCAAUCGUAAUCACUGCCUCCUCAUUCUCAGGAAACAAUGUGGAAAUUAAGGCAUCAUCCAUGUGGGAGUGGAUAGGGAGGGAAACAGAAGGGGGGGGAGGGAGAGAAGAAGAAAGUAGGAGGACAUAAAGACUCCCUGCAUGAUGAAGGGAGGAGCGCUGGCCAAAUCCAGCUUUAAUUAAUUAUUAAUUUACUAUCUGCAGUGUUUCCCCAUCUAACCAGCCAGCGGGGGCCCUGUGGGGAAUCACCCCCCCCUCCACCCUGAAAUGAUCCCGCCCCCUUACUCACAUAUACAUACACAUAUGCACACGUUGCGGUGGACAUAGAGCGCACACGUCCGCCCCCCCGCUGGAUGGUCCAACUACUGCCCCCACCCCCAUAAAGUUGUAACCACAGGGGAAACACUGAUUUGGGUUUGAAACUUCUGGACAUUCCUCAAAGUGAUCAGAUGGAUGGACGACAAACACCACACAGAUCCAACUUCAUGUUUGCAGAAUUGAUGUCACUAAACCUCCAUGUGGACUCGGCUCAAGCCUGCCAAGAUGGUGAUCUGUAGGCGUAGAGACAAGCUAACAAACAGAUCUAACUAGAGCCUGGAGAAUAAACCGAAUAUCAUGAGCAUUUUUUUAAUUCACUAUCUUUUCUGAUAGUUAGAUGAGAAAAUAGAUUCCACUUCUGUCUGCCCAUUAAAUAUAAUGCUAGGGCCAGCAAUCGGGUUAGCUUAGCACAUAUACAACAAACUGAGGGAAAGAGCUAGCUUUCUUCUGCCUUAAGGCAACAUCGUCUGCAUCCCUGAAGCCUACUACCUUACAGCAAUAUGUAUUUUUGUAUUCCUCAAACACUAUGUUAAACUGACCAUUCUCCUUAUUAUUAUAUUAAGUUUGGUAUCCACCACAGUGGAUACACAUUCUGCCCCCAUUACAACGUGAAAGGUAGCAGCCAUUAGGGUGAUCUCUGCAAAUGUGUGUUGUCAGCAGCAAUGCUCUUCCACUGGAUUCAACCACAAAGGCUGCGCGAGAGGAGUGAGUACGAGACAAAGGGGAGAACCCAUCAAGACGCAAAGACGCAACCCAUCAAGUCGUUGCAAUUACAACGCGCAUCCCACCGUAACCACAGAAACAUCGCUAGGAAUAUGGAAACCUUUCCAAAGAGCUCUUCUCUCUUAAAAACGUGUCUCCUGGCUGAAGACAACAGUCCAGACAGAGAGGGAGAGCUUACCUAUUGGCAUGAAAUACGUCCUCAAACCAAAAUGCUAGCUGAAUUGAGCCCAGUCAAUUCCCCCGGCAGAUGAAUAUUUGAUGUCCCUCUUUGCUCAGUUCCAAUGUCCGCUUUAAGGGAGGGUAGAAAUCACGUUACAGUUUGUAGAAUAUGCUGCUCUUUGUUUUCUUGUUCUACAGUAUAUUUCUGUCAAAUCUCCAGAGGGGAACAACUGUUAAGAGAGAGCCUGUGUAAUUUAACUGAACCCCAAGGGUGCAUUAGCUUCUGAUUUCUGAAGAGAUCAUGUGGAUAUUUCGGUUUGUAGGCUCCACUGCAAUCAUCUACCAUUGUGCUAUAACACCAUUCCAAGGUUAGCAACACACCUUCCUUCCUCUGCCUCCUCUAAAAAGGUUCUUAAAUGUUGUUGCCAGGCAGCGACGCAGCAAAAACAUCUCUGUGUGGCUUUAAGGAGUAAAAAAAGAAAAGAAAAGGAACAAAAAAGGAGCACUCUCAGCUGGCACUCAGGUCUAAAAGGGAAAAGAAUGAGACACAAUCAUGAGAUCUUAAUAGAGUUACAAAUGUUGGACUUGAUGUAUUCCUGCGUCUUCGGCGUACUCCGCUGUUCGUCGGGCAUCACAUGGACCAUCAUCAUGCUCAUCAAAAGCACUUCAUUACAGGAAUCAGGUCAGAGAGUCUGAGCCUGUGUCUGCAUUGUGGUUGGGGUGAAUGUCUGGGGAGUUUGUGCGUGUUUGUGUUAAACCAGUCCAGUAGUGUGUACCAAAUCUAUGCAUGUGGGUGCAUCCAUGAGAAUACAUCCUGCGUGGCCAAAAAACAGAAAAGACAGAGGCUGCUGCUGCUGCCCUCCAGUCUCGCUUUCUGGAGUUCCCUCGAUCGAGCCCCUCCAGCGCCGUCACACGUAAAUCUGACCCCGUCGAGGUCAGAGUCUGACUCGAAGCUAGCCUCUGCUAAGCUUACUGUUAUCCACCCGAUCUGUUGCCCUACCGGAACAGAGGACCAUUAGCAUACACAAUAUUGCUUUGCUGAAAUGAAAAUGUAUUUAUGUCUCAUUUUUUGUUAUCAUUCCCUUCCUAUUCCCAAAGUGGUUCACAUAAAAGCAUUGCAAAACAUGAGUAAAUAUGUAUUCCCAUGGGAAGGGAGGAGGGGUGCUGCCCGACUGGAGGCACUGAGGGGGGGUAUAACACAACCUUCACCCCCCCCUUUGUCUUUAUAAAUAGCUAUUAGGAAAUAUGGAACAAAAGAGCUGCUGGGAAUUUAAGACAAUUGGACCUACAUGUUCUCUUUUGGAACAGAGAACAGCAGAGCAUGCGAUAAACAAACUUUCAUCCAUUUGCUUUCACAAUCUUUCAAGUGGAAUACGGCGAGAGCCAAAGCUUCGGUUAUCUUCCUGAAAAAAGCAGCACAUGCGUACACAGCGAGGAGGUGAAAGAAGAGCAUUGCGUUGCAGGAGAAGUUAGAAGACAAAUCGGGAAAGGUUCGGCCUACCUUUUUCUGGUCCUCCAGCUUUUGACUUGUCGACUUCUUGCCAUGCUUGCUGGCCUCCGGUACAUCCAUCCCUGGUCCCAAUACAGAAUACCUCCAGAGUAAAAUCACGGGAAGUAAGUUGGAGAGAAUCCUCACGGCUACAGUUUCCCAACGAGAGCCCGUGUCCGGCUCACGCCUUCACCAGGACACGGGCGGUCCAUGGCAAGGUGGUGGUUUGUACAGUCAAAAUGUGUCCCUGAGUGUUGUCAGAAGAGAGACGUUUUGGGAGGGAAACAGGACAGAUACCACUCACAGUGCGAUGGGCUACAGAGCGAUGAUAUCACCUUGAUGACUGACGCGAAGGGGAACACUGGAGAUGACUCUCAGCCCGCAGGGUUCAGUAGUUUUACAUCAAGAUGCAAUCCCUGGCUCCAGCACACAGUCUUCCCUCCACACCUGGGGAAAGAAGGCCAAGACAUGCUUUCAUUCAGAUGAAGAAAAAUAAAGGAAGAAACACAAGCUCUCUGGCUCUCCGAAAAGUCAAUAUUCCCCCUGGUGGUACACUGUUCGAAUGGUUAGGGUAUCUGCAUAUCAAAGUGGACGUUGCCAUGGAGCUCAAAGAGGGAGGGAGAAAAAGGAAGCUUCUGCUACAUGCAGUUUCUUCUACACCAAGAGUUAUUCUUUUUGGUUGUGGUCUUUUUUUGUCCGAAUGAAAGCAUCUGGGGAAGGACUGAGUCAUGCUGAGGUCGGGUAAACUCAUGCCCUGGGAGGGGUCCGGGCAUGGAAAGAUAACCACAGCAUCAACUUGUCUGCUUGGUUCACGGUGCACAACAUCUGAUAUAUUAAAAAAUGUGAAAAUCGUUUAUGCUGUGCCAUCGGAGCAGCAUUACUGAAAUCCAAACAUGUCAUUGUCUGUUCCGUCCUCAACCCAUCGAUUUAUUAUUCCAUAUCAUCAGAUCAGCAUUCUGACAGACUGGCUAAUCGUCAUGGUCAAAGAUGUUAUUGAAGGUUGGCAUAAGGGGGGGUUCAGCAAAAUAUAGCCUUAUGAUAGAUACAUUUCUAUUUUUACUUAAAACCGAUCUAUAACUGAAUUAUAUUGGUUUUUACUUGAAACAGAGCCCAGCUUGGGGAACCUGCUUUGGGUUCGCACCGUUUCCUCUCUGAGCACCGGCCAGAUCUUUGCUAUCAAACACUUACCAAGCCUGCGAGUGCCGUGUAGCACUGCAACCCUGUCAGUUACUUAAGGGCAAUCAUGUCAAGUGCUGCCAACUCAGAAUUGGUUCUUAAGGGACAUCAUGAGUCAAGCGCUGAGGCCUGACGAGAUUUUCCAUUAAAACCCAGAGUGUUAGCUGAUGGCAAUAAGCUGUGAAAAGAUUUCCUUUCAAGUACCAUGGGGUUGCUGUUCCAUUACAUUAUGUAGCAGCCUCAAACAACAAGCUAAGCAGAGGGAAUAUUUCCAGCGUUAGGUGAUGAGCAAAAUUAAGCAUGCUCUCCAAAGACUGGAAACACCAUGCAGUUUGGCACAAGGGAUAACACCACAUCCCAGAAAUGCUAAAGUUGCUAAAAGCAAAGCUGUAUGGCUCCUAGGAUUCCCCUCAGCAGUGGAAUUAUAAAUUCAUGCAUAUUACAUCAGUGCUCAUUUGCUCCAUUUUCUUUUUCUUGAAUAUUACAACAGAUACAAGGAAACCUCACGAGGAAUAGUAUGGCAACCAUUCUGCUUGCUGCCGGGAGUAGGCCGGCUGUCAGAGUGACAAGACGGCCUGCAAUGUAGUCCACUGGGGUCAGAGGUCGUUCUCCAUCUGCUUUUCCUGACAAGCAACAGCAGGUACAUAGCACCCUUGGCAAGGGGGCAAGGACAGAGUCACAAGACAAACAAGUGCCCGAGUAGAGAUUACUCCACUGCAUCUUUCUGCCAUGGGAACCAAACUGGAUCUCAAAACAAACCAGAAUGAAUCCAACCACAUGCUCACAUCAGUAACUCACGUACCCAAAUGUCUGUGGGUUACUGAUACAUUAGAGUAUAACAAUAAACAACUCCAUUAUUACUUCUCAGAUGUCGUUCUAGUUCAUUUACUCACCAACUGUGUGUCUGUCUCUCGCUAAGCGUCAAUAAUGCAGUUCACUGCAGCAAUUUCAAUUCUACAAACUUUUACUUAUAGAACGUCAUGAAAGCAAACGGUCCCAAAAGCAGGAGCCGGAGCCUAGACAGGCUGAUAUGACGUGCACAGUUAUUAUUGCAAGAGGAUGCAGAGUUAUUAUUGUUAGUUAUUGUAGUUUUUUCCAACAGGUUGCCUCUUUAUUUGUUCUUAAACGUAACAAUAGGGAGAACACGUUGAGGAAAAUAUCUGGCUGCCAAUGUUUGAAUUGCAACAGGCUUUUUUUAUGGACGGCAUUUUGAGUGAGCAGCUGUGUUGCUAAUGACUAAUGAUUUCCGACUGACUGCCAAAACGGUCCAUUAUGUUCUACCAACUAAACUCUUUGCCUGUAUUUUCUGUCAAGCAUAUACAGCAUAAUAAAUCAAGUAUUCGCUGAAUGUAAUCUGAUGAAAUAGUGUUCGCUGCAUGAACAGCAUCAGACAAGAGUAACCCUUGCCAUUCAAUUAAAGGGCGUGCCGCGUCCCCCUACGUUUACAACUAUAUACUGAUCUCUGUGGACAUGAGAGUUCCGUCCCGAUCGGCACAAACAGACACGUGUGUAUUCAUGGGGGGGAAACACUGCAAGUUCUUUCUUUUAGACUUCAGAUUAAAUAUGAAUUCUUUGGAGAUAAACCUCAAACUAAAUUAAAUUAAAUUAAAAUAAAAAAGUUACGAGUGAGUCACUCGUCAAGAGUUUUACCUAUGUUUGGCCAACAGAGAAUUAUGGGUAAUUAGCUGCAGCUGGGUACGUUUGCCAGGGGUUACACUGACAGAAAAUGAAAUAACCUCUUAGAGCUUGACAGCAGUCAGUAAUGGCAACGUUAAAAUGUGUAAAUAAUUUCCACAUAAAUAUGAUCUGAGAUAAAAAACAAAAACAAUAAUACUUAAGUUAAACUAAUUAGAAAGAGCACAUUUCGUCAAUCCCAUAUUUUUCUCAAUUUCUAUAUAUGGAUUGAAUGACAAAGACAAAGACUUGUUGAAUUUUCUAGUAAUUUUUGUUGGAAAGAAUAUUAAUGUGGACUUUAAUCCCCUAUCAGCUAUAAAUACAUUAUACGUUAUAUACUAUAUAAGGGUAUUUGGAAGUAGUGGAUAUCUCCAUAUUUAUGAGGGCCUAUUUCAUCUCAACUUGUUGAGAGAUGCCGAUGAUCCCAUCUUUAAUCUCUACAGCUGGUCGACAUUUGCCCUCGCACAGUGGCCUUUCUCCGGCACUUGGUAUUCAACGGGUGUCUGUAACUCUCCAAGUGGUCAAUAAAGUUUGAUUCAUGGCGCCCCCGGCAGUAACGGCACACUGCUGCCUUAAUUCGAGAUGCAAAUGAUGGCCAUAGAUCGAGCCUGAUUUCCUCAGGGUGAGCAGGGGGUUGGGCGGGCGUGCGCCGUAAAUUAUCACCCCGAUAGGUCAGAGGUCAGACAUAAGGAAAGUCCCACCAUCACAUCAAAAUACUAUAAUGCCAUAAUGCCCUUCCUUCAAUAUAAACAUCCCUAUAUCAGCCUCUAUGAGUAUCCUGACACAACAAAAGACGCAAUAUGGCUAAGAUCAAAUGACAAAUACAUUCUCAGCCUUUUAAACUAUUUUUUUGUAAAAAUACAGAGUGGGAAGUUGUAUUCCCCUAUAGAUAUCCGGUGUCCACUAUGAAUAUUUGGACAGAAAUGGUAAUAGCAAGUAAUAGGAAUAUUUUCAAUAAUUAGGACAAUCGCAAUGGCCUCACCACACUUUGCUCCACAAUGGGCCAAUAAUAAUAUUGAUAUAAUAAAUACAAGAGGGAUCCCUUGCUACACAUUAAGGAUUGGAAAACUGAUAAUUUAUAACAAUUUCCUCGUUAAUUUAUAACAAUUUAGUCAGUAAAAGUUUUAUUUGCAAUUAAUCUAGAUUAAUGAAUUCUAAAAUGUGAGAUUCUAUCGCUGAUUCUAUCCUGACUCCCCCACAGCUCCACCAACCUGCAGACAUGCCACCAGCCAGCUUCAAGGCCUCCAAUAUCAUCCCCGUUUUUUAUUCUGAACUUUUAUUUUUAGUUCCUUUUGCACUAUGUUGUCUUAUCUGUCUUGUUGUCCAUUUUACAGUCUGAUGUUAUGCACCAACCGCCAAGUCAAAUUCCUUGUAUGUCUAUCAUAUUUUCGUAAUAAAUGUUCCUGAUUCCUGAAAAACAGCCUGCUGGGGCCAUAAGCGUGUGGAUAGAACAUGAGUAGGUGUGCAGACGCUGUGAAUCUUUAAGGCUUCAGAAGAGAGCAGUGUGUUUACUUCAGGUUGCUGCAUCCGCUAAAGCGAACUAAUACAUAGUGAGCAUGCUAUGGUGGUGAGAAAAAUGCUCCUUCCUCUCUGUCUGGGGUGGCCACUAAGUGGGAGGAAGGAAGCUCUGACCAGCCACAACAGUAUGCGAGACACUUACCACAACAUGCAAUAAAACAUAACUGAGCUCCAACCAGACGGAAGUGGAAGCCUUGAGUUUGUCAGUUUGGCCUUUGCCGUCUGUUUCUUUUGGCCGUCAUCUUGUUUUUUUCUUCGUCGCCCAUCUUGGUAUUUGGCCACAACCGUCUUGUCUUUUUAGCAACCAGAGGUGAAGCGAGUAUAAGAAUUAAUGCUGAAUAAGAACCAAAAUGUUACCUCCUGGACUAAAAAAUCACAAUGAAAACGUUAAGAACUAAACAAGGACAACGGUGUGGUACCUGCCUGUAGACUACAAAGACUGAUACAAAUGUACAAAUGAGAUCGAACAUUUACAGGUUGAGAUACAAUCAAAUAUAUUUGUUAGAAAAACAGUUAACUUAAGUCCUUUUCUGAUUAGAUAAUGUCAUAUUAUAUUAGAUAUUUCUUUAAAUAAGCAUAAUGUAGCUGUUGAUUGUAGUGAUGGAAGUAGGUUGUUCGGCAGAUAAGAUCAGUAUUUCGAUUGAGGGAGUCAAUCAGUCAAAAUGAAGAAAAAAAAUCAGUCUUGUGUAUAGUUGAGGGGAAAAUAAAUUAUAUGUUCAUACGUGAAUGCAGUUUUUCAGAUAAAAAAUUGAUGAUAGUUUGAAAUUAAUGAAGUGAGAAGAAAAAACGGGAGUGAUAGUAAAGCUACAGUACAUCUAAUUUGCAUUGAUCUGCACCAAAUUUGCACCAAACGCUACCCUGGCUUUUGCCGUUGUCAGGGAAACUGUGGAGGGAUGGUGGUAGCUUGUGUGUGUGCCCGUGUGUGUGUUUUUGCUGCAGGUAUCCUGGCUCUCUUUAACAGGGUAAGCACUAUUGUGAAGACUGUCAACGAGAAGGAGCAGGUCAUUAUCUUGAGGAAUGCAUGUCGCGAUGUCGGUUUGUUUUGUUCCGCACACUUGCCCGGGCCUGACAUUCUCCCAGCACUUGGCUGUUUAUUGUUUUCCCAGAGAUGACACAGUGCUUGGCAGUGACAGCAAAAUGACUCACGAGUGACAUCGGGACCUUCACAACCAAAACAGUACCUGCCAAAAACCUUAAAUCUCACACUGGCAGAAAGAUGUAUUAAUUAAACAAGAAAUACCGCUAAAGUUAAGAUGAGAAUUUAGCGGUAUUUCUAUUAUAAGAUGAGAAUUUUUUAAAGCUUACAUUCACCUUCGAUUGACCACUGGAAUGCCGAAAUGCAACAGCCACAGGGAGCAUGAAAAGCAAACUACCAGGUGAAAACAAAUGUAAGAGUAGGGCUGUGCGGUGUGGCUAAAAAUUCAUAUCACGGUAUUUAGAAAGAUUCUGACGGAAUCCCGUGACAGUAUAGUUUUUUCAACUAAACAUUAAUUCAUUGAUGCCAAUAAGGGAGUGACAGCGAGAUCCUCCUUGUGGCAGUGGCAAGUGGGUGGCAACUUUGUGACAGGCAGCGGCAAUCGCCAGUAAAUCAGUCGGCGUCACGACGGCACGCUGGGUGGGAGGAGCCAAUUUUUCCCAGAAACCACUGUUAUUUGUACGACAGGUCAGCUGCUGUAAAUAUUUAAUUUUAUUUAAUUUUAUUUAAUUUUAUUUGAGACACGUGAGCCCCCGUCUUCUUAUUACAGAGGCUAAUUUUAGGUUUGGACCGGCGGGUUCCGUGUAGGGGGUGGGGCUCUCAAGUUUGAUGCCACCCACUUGCCACUGCCACAAGGAGGAUCUCGGCCUUACUGCAAUAAGGACCGCCGGCUGCCUGAACAGCUGUUCGCCGCUUGCGGCCAACUCGCUUGCAUCUGUUUAAGCACUUUAUUUGUUGCCGUUUUUUGUUUGAUGGAACGUGUGGUGGGCGGCUUUGAAUAAUGAAAAUGAUUUCGCCCUAACUAAUCUUGAGAAAUUUUUGGGGAAUAUAAAUAACAUAAAUCCUGAAGUGCUCUAAAGAAUAAACUUAUUAACAAAAUAGGUUAAAAGUUUUAGUUAAGAAUUGGUUUAAACCCAUUGUAAUCAAAAUGUCAAAUCAACCUACCUUGGUCAAAUCUAUUAAUUAGGCUAUAUUGUGGUUCAUAGACAGUCAUAGAGGCAUAAUAGUUUUGUGGUUGAAUGGUUGAAAGCCUAGAAGGCUCUACAGGUCACAAUCAGAUGAACAUGAAUCCGACCGUUCGCCGGUCCGACGCACCGCCACCACCUCCCAUCGACCGUAAUGGUCUGGCCCGCGUUCGGUCGAAGUGGGCUGCAUGGCCCGCACUUGACUUAAACCAAAAUGUCCUGGGGGUGGACCUUCAGCUAUGUCAUUGCUUCACAGAAUGUAACCAAUGUUGUCCAUCCCCUGUAGGCCACCCCCAUCGACGACUUUGGGCCCCACAAACCACCAGAUUGCAGCCAACAACAUGGCUACAACGCCAAAUAAAUUCAAAUUCCCUGAUAUUUGAGCCACCGAUGUGUGUUGCUGCGUGCGCGGUAAAAUUUUGGUCAACUUUAUUUGUCCCAUCGGUUUUUCGCUCCACGUAGUGCAAUGUAAAAAAAGAAAGCACGAAAUAAGGCACGAAAUAGCAUUACUCAAAGAGACACAGACUCAUUAAACCAAGAGUUCAACGAAAACUCCCACUGCUGCCCACCUACGUAAAAGUAUGACCAGCAUCAGCAUGCAUCAUCCACAUGCAGCAACAGAACAAGAGGUCAGCAUGAACAACAUGCUAAUCUUCCUCUCUGUGUCUAAUGGGGCUGGGGGGGGGAUGAGUGUUUGGAUGGGUUGGUCUGGUGAUGAGGGCACUCUGAAGGUCUGAAGGUCGAGAUUGAAGCCCUGUAUUUAGCCGCUUGGCCUCACUACAUUCUUGUAAAUAGUUGAUACCGCCACACCAACACAUGAGGGAGGAUUCUUAAAUCGACUCAGUUAAAGGCAGAAAGGUUGUUGUUGUUGUUGUUGUUGUUGUUGUUGUCUACAAGCCAUUUCUUAGUUACAUUCAAAAGAGAGAUUGUAAAUUAUGUUUGAACCAAAGUGUCACUUCUGGUCCCUCAUUAAUGGAGACAUUUAGUCUCUGAUUCAUUUAGUAGGAGAAAUGAGCUUUUCCAGCAUUCCAAAAAAAUUAAAUGAAAUAAAUAGUAUUUCCAUUCCCUUUCAACGACAUAUCGAGAGCUGAGCCGGCGCUAGCAGUGAAAACCUUGGAAACAAUGCUCAGUGUUCACUGAGGGGGGACCGGAUGAUACUAUUGGUCACAGCAGCGUUAUGGGCGGUAACCGCAUACAUCCACGGGGGACCAGAAACGUUGCCGCAAUGAACAAUAUCUAGUUUUAACCCAUAUGUGCGAACAAGUCCAAAAGAUGAAACAUCUCAAAUGUAAAUUCUUCGCUUC